rnacentral:ncRNA from 2 species
UUCAAGUAAUCCAGGAUAGGCA